GAGGCCAGAAAAGAAGACAUGCCAGCUCUAAGAACUGGAGUUAGAGGGAGUUGUGAACCACCAUGUUGAGUGCUAGAAUUCAAGUUCAGAUUCUCCUCAAGAGCAGCCAGAGCUCUUGAGUGCUGAGCUGUCUCCCCAGCACCUACUCAUUUUUAAGUGUUCAAUAGGUGGCAUAAGGGACACUCUCAUUGUUGUGAAUCCAUCUGCAACACCUAUUUACUGACCAUUUUUCUCGUCUUAAAACUAAAUCUCUCCACCAAAUGAAAAUUCUAAUUCCUGGUUCCUUCUGCACCAACUACCAUUCUCCAUCAAUUUGAUGUUCUAGCUACAUCAUCAAAAUGGAACUUUCUGCUACUUGUCCUUUUGUAAUUGCUUCCUUCUCUUUUUAAUGUCUUCAGGAUAUAUCCUAUUGUAGACUACAUGAAAUUUCCCUUCUUUGUGUGUUUCACUUUGCUUACUGAACCAUCCGUGGACAUUUGGAUUGCUUCCAACUUGGGCUAUUAUGAAUAACACUAUCCACAGGGAUAUACAAAUACCCAUAGUUGUCUCUUGUUUCAUGCUGAGGUGCACAGAAGUCUUGGGGUUUCAAUAUGGAAGAUUCUGGGUCAUUUGAGCAUCCUUAUUGAAAGCACUAACUUCACUUUGUUAUCACUGUCUAACGCGGUGGCUUCAGCAGAGGUGGGAGGGGCUUUGCAUUUCAUGAAGGAAGACUGCUGGUUGGGGGAAAUCAUCAUCUUUGGGAAGUAUUUAUAGAAAUUGAGUUGAAUUUAAAUUUUUUUCAUUUAAAAUACAUAAAGGGAAGAAAUUUAUGGUCUUUGAGGUUGCAAAAGCGCUGUCUACCCUCUGCUUCAGCGGGCUCAUUGCUUAGGGCACUUUCUAGGUGACUAUGCUUUCCUAUCCAGUCAAUGUCACUCUCUGUAGCCUGCCCGAUGCUUAGUAGUGUGACCGAGACUGUCGUUGAGUUGGCCAGCUGAUUCUGAAUAAAUGAAUUGGUAAGUCAAUGAAUGAGUACAGGGGGAGACAGAGGCCAUAUACCUUGAGCUUGAGCCAGUGUAAUACAGCUUACUGAUUUGCCUUCAAGAAUAAGUAAAGGACAUUUCCCUAAGGAAGGGAGCCAUGCUUCCUCAGUUUCUCAGUACUGGGGAGAAGGCACCUCAAGGUGUCAGGACAGCAAAUUUGUUUCUUGUCUCUCUGCCUUGAUACACAAGGACAACAGAAACGCAAUUCUUACUUCCUCUCCCUGGGGACUUUUGAAGCUGCUUCGAAUGGAAUAUUCCGAGCUCUUUAAUCUCUUAGGAAGAAAGGAGUUUUAUGAGGAUAAUCACACACUGUCCUUGGGACAUCAGCACCUGCAUGGUACCCAUGGCUAGUGGGGGCAUUGGUUUUGAAGAGUGCUUUUUGCUGUUGUCCUUUUUUAUUUACCAGGCAAGUGUUGCAUUUGUGCAGAUCUGUAUUCCUAGCUGGAACAAGGUAUUUAUAAACAAAGUUCUCUAACACCAUCAUGACUGGGGUGAUAGUGAUGGUGGUUCAUAGUCAGAGCAGCAGCCAAAAUGCAUUCCUAUUACUAAAUUUCAGAUUCUAUGCUCAGUGCUUUCCCCCACCCCACCCCCAGCUCUCAUGACACCAUAAGGCUGGUGUUAUCAAAGAGUCAACUGUAAAGACGGGACACUGAGGUCCAGAGAGGUCACAUGAUUGCAGCUACAUCAUUUAGUGGAUAAAAAGCAGAGCUUUACAGAAAUGAUUGCCUUGUGGUACCUGAGGAUAAUAUUCUCCCUAAUAAAAGUGUAAGUUGAGUUCUAAUCAACUAUCAGAAAAAGGGGUGGGUUUCCAGUGGAUCGUAUUUAAGAGGGAGCUUUAGUGAAGGGAAGCAUUGGUUGACCUUGAAGGGUUAGAGGACUGUGGAUUGAUGGGGAGAUGGUAAGCUGUGAGUGGCAGUAUCCUUUCAAGAUUCAUAUGUAACUGGGUAGAGUGAAGGGCAAAUAGUGGGUAACAAAGGACAGCAUGUGCAGAAAGAGAGGGUGGGACUAAAUAAUGGAGAAUGUAAGUGCUACUUUUCUGCCACCACCGAUGGCCAAAGGGCACAUUUGGAAAAUGGUGACUGGAAUUAGGAGCUAAGCCCAUAGACAGAAAGUAUGACAGUGACUCUUCUUAAAGGAGAAGACCCCGAUGCUUCCCUCUAGUUCUCUGUUAUCAAAGGAACAAAUGAAGAAACCCAUCAGUCACCAUUUGGUAAUAACAGAUGACAGAAUGUGAAUUCCUGACUUUGGAAUGUGCAUCCCCAGAGCCCUGGAUCGGCUCAGAUAUGAUUGAAGACUCUAUCAGAGGAAUGAGAGAGGAUCAUGGCUUCCUGUAGGCAGAUAGAGGGUUUGGCUGUCCACUAAAGGUCUGAUUGAUGGAUGGGACAGAGGGAUUACCAAGGAACAAUCUAGGUAGUGUGUACAAGGAGCCUGAAGUCAAAUUAUCAGCAUAGUAGUUUUCUUCAGGAAGUUCUUUGGAAUGUUCUUUUUUGUGCCUCCACCUUUACCCAUGGUGCUUGAUGGAGAUCUUUCUUGAUACUCGUCUCAUAGAUACAUUUCUCCAAUUUUCUUCUUCACCAUGCAUCUCUGGCUACUCCUUGAGGGUCUGUGGAUUUGUGUAAGGUCCACCUCAAUCUAGUCUGACCUUAUUUUCACUAAAAUAACAACACGUGCAAAAUUCUUUCCAAAUAAUACAGCAUUCUAAGAUUCUAGGUGGUGAAUUGUUUUCAUUCUGGGAUGCUCGCUGACUUAGUCCACACUAUAUAAGCAAGAGCCAGAGGAAGACGUGUGGGUACAAGGUCUUAGAGAUGGUUUGGAUGAUUUGCUCAGCAGAGAGAACUCAGCUGGGUGAGUGUGAACACGGGGCUCUUGCUCAAGAGCCUGCUGGAGACCUAACCAUCUGGGAUCUGAAUGAUGUAUCUGAGUUUUACCCCCUGAGGAAUCUGGAGUCUGUGGCAGAGAGUGACUGACAAUGGGGGCUAAGACAAUGGGGGGAGGGGUAAGGGGGAGUAGUGAUAGCCUAGGUCAGUUGGAAAGAGCUCAUGACUUAGGUGACUAUGGUCUGAGUUAGGGUGGAACAGUUGUUCUGGGGAAGAGAAGGGGACAUUUUAAAAAUUUGUAUUUGCUUUUAUUUUAUGUGUAUGAAUGUUUGGCCUGCAUGCAUGUAUGUGUAUGUGCCCUGUGUACAUGUCUGAUGUCCACAGAAGUCAGGAGACACUGUUGGAUCCCAUGGAAGUAGAGCUAUGGACAGUUGUGAGCUGCCCUGUGGGUGCUGGGAACCAAACCUGGGCCCUUUGCCAGAGCAGCAAAUGCUUUUAACCACUUAUCUCAUCAGGCCGGAUGGAUGUAUUUUAAGAGAAAGACAGUAGCAGACCUGGUGAGAGAUGGGUUGUGGCAAUAAGGGAGAAUGAACUUUUGAACUUGGGUGAAUCUAAUGCUGAAAGGGGAAGAGAAACAUUUAUGGAGAACAACAGUUCUUCCUCGGACAGGAUGAGCUGGGGCUGUUUCUGGGAAGGCAAACUGUAGACAUCCAUCAGCCUGCUGGAAACUCACUGCUGCAGCUUGCUGGCUCCUUCGGGUGCUGUUGCAGGAAAUCUGAAGCAAUGGAUACUGAAGUGUGAGUAGUCCCUGCUUUUUUGAGGGGGUCAGAUUCUCAAGAGUUUGUGUAAAUGUCGCCAUAGUCUAGAUUCCUUGUGGUUGUCAUGUGUCAUACCAGAAGCCAACAUAGCAGAAGGAUCUUUCUGGAACACAAACCUGAGGAUAUCUCAGGGUACACUGUCCUAUGAUGUGCCCUCAGGGAGUGGUCUUCACUGAUCUCAUGGUAGAAUGCUGCUCAAUUGAGCUUCCUGACAAGGUUGCUCAAAACCCAGAACAUGUCUUAGAUUAUACUCACUUCAACUUCUCUGAUCCUUCUACAGUAUGAAGAACAUGCCUGCAUGCCUGAACAUGCACCCCCCCCCCACACACACAUGUGCACAUGCAUGCAUGUACUCAUACAUGUGUACCUACACACACACACACAUGAGUGCAGACUCACAAUCUACCCCCUCAAUGUGAAGAAUGGGCCCAAUGUCCCCUCUCAUGUUUAUAAUUUGUACCUGACACUUCUCUUUCCUGGAAUCAUAUUUAUAAUUUGUACCUGACACUUCUCUUUCCUGGAAUCUCUUCUUUGCUUCCAUUUCCCUAGUCUUUCAACUUCCCAGUUCAACACCAAAUGAUCUGUAACACUCCAAGUAAAAUGUGUUUAUUGAGAAGCCAUUUCCCCAAACCUGUUUCCUCUCCAAGAACUGGGGCAUCCAUAUACCACUAUCUUCUCCUAGAAAGCUGGCCAUGUGAUAGGUAUAAAGGAGCCAUCCACUUCCCAAGACUGCAUGGGAAGGAGAUGAAGAAAGAGAAAUGGAUGGCUGGGUGGUGCUAUGUACACCGUGAGAAUUCAGCUGCAAGACCACACUUCCAGCAGGAGAGGUGUCACAAUGCCUGCUCACCCUUCCUCAACUUCUCUGAUCUCUCAACAACAAACCAACUUAGGCUUCUACCAGAGUUUGUCCCAGGGAACCAAUGAGUUUUGGUCUUACUUCCAGAGCAUGAGGGGCCCUAAAAUAGCUGUACUGUCUGAGGCCAGCAUGAAUGACGAAUGGACGGCAGGUUCCCAGUGGCUGCAUAGAUGGAGACUCCUUCAGUUAACCUUCCCCAGUUGAGGGAUUCUCUGCAGGUGUCAACACAGCCAGUGAUCCACAAAGAGGGGAGACUUGAACAGACAUCUUUUUACUCCAGGUAGGCAUCAGUGACAGACCAGAGCAGAGAUUCCACUCAAAUCUGUCCUGGUGAAUCUACUAGUGAUUCGGAAGCAGGGAUGACUGAGAGAGCCCUACCUCUUACCACAGAAAGGCGCAACUGAAGCUGGUUGGUUUAAUCACCAGCAAUCAUUUACUGCUUUAAAAGCUUGGAAAAGGGACUUGUGAAUCUUGACACUCGUAUGAACAUUUUAAUCCUUUCAGGAUUCAGGAGGCUCAUUGUCUUAUGAGCUGCCCUCCGGGAGAGACCAUUUGAACACAGGAAAUAAUAUUGCCAUGACCAUUGAGGAAAGAGAAACAAACUGGACUGUAAUUUGGCCAAGACCUCAGAGCUCCACAGCAUAGAUGACAGCUCAGAUUGCUUCGAUUGUCCUGGUAAGAUUUACCCGGAGUCCAAUUCACACUGGUUUUGCUGGUAGUCUUGAAUUAGAAUGAGAUACUAUUCUGGUGACCCCUUGGUAGCUUCAUACUUCCCGUGGUCUAGCGAUUUCUCCGUAGAAUCCAAAUGACACCACCAGCCCCUGCUUCACAGCUUUUCUCGGGAGAUAAGUUUAAAUCAGCUUAUCAUAUCCGCUUAUGCACCGAGGCGCGAGACAUCUCAGCAAGCCUGCGUUUCUGCUUCGGGGCCCCACGGGCUACUGCAGAUCAGUGACCUACAGGAACCACAUGACUUCAGUUCCCUUUGAGAGAAGUGACAACAGGUGACUUCACGCACCAGAUUUUGCAUUCGUGAAGAGAGACAAAGAUUUAAUAAAUGCUUUCCGUAGCAUUUCAUAGUAUAGCCUGCUGAAGUGGCCCAAUGGGGCUUGAUGGUGCGGUCACAUUCAAGGGGAAGUUGAAUGGGAGACACAGAAGCAAAGGGGUAGAGAGGGAAGCGCACAGGGCUGGGCGGAGGACAGUGGUCCUGGAGAGUGUGAGGCGAAGCACCCCUAUUGAUGAUUUUACCUUAGGUUUUGGGAAUCAGAAUAAAUUAUCAUAUGCUAUUACUAUGCAGGAUGAAAUGAUCUCAUUUUGACUAGAGCAAUCUUCCUUGAUUAGGUUCAGCCACUCUGCUUCAUUUCCAGAUGUAUUGGGAAAUAAAAGUUUUCUUUCUCCUGAGACAUAAAAGCUUAUGCUCUCGGGAAACAGUAAUCUGAUUUUUCCUUAAUUUAAAAAAAUGGUAUGUAUUCUGUAUUUCCAUUUUAUAACUGUAUCUUUUUUAUCAAUGUCAAAAUUAGAAAAAAUAUGUUAUUGGAAAACGUAGGGAAUAUGUAGGAAAAAAAUCAUGACUCCUAUCCUUAGAGUAUUUCUAUUUUGCAUAUGGAAUUAAAAUGUCAUUUUAAUAAAUUGGGGUCUAAGUAUGCAUUAAGUUUCUACCCCUCUUUUAAAAAUUGACCACGUUAUCAUAUACAUUUUUAUUUGACGAUUCCAUUCUCGUUAUUAACUUGUUUAAAUGUCUCCCUCUGAUUGUGCAUAAAGGUCAUUUGUCACUUUUGCUAUUGGAAGAAUGUUAUAAUGCUAAGUUUAGGAAAUGAAUCUCUGCAUUUUUCUGUGAUUAAUUUUGUAGGUCAGAGUCCCAUAGAUAGACUAAGAAUAUUUCUUUAAUUAUGUUUUAUGGUUCCUAUUGCACAUAUAAAAAUGACUAUGAAUAUUUCUUUAAUGAUGUUUUAUGGUUCCUCUUGCACUGGUUCACACUUUUAUCCAUUUGUAGGUUUUUUGUUAUUGUUGUUGUUUUGUUUUUUGCUUUUUUGUAUUGAGCAACAUUUAUAUGUACUAGGCAGGGCUGGAUCAGAGUUAGAUUUGAGCAAGCCCUGCAGAGGAGGAUACAGAGAGUGGGCAUGUAAACAAAUGAUUCCAAUUGGAAUGUCAGCCCAACCUUUCAUUGCUGAACUGUUUGCUGUGUAUAGAUUCAGGGACUGAGUAAGUCACUGCUUUCAGUUGUGUACCCACCAAGGAGGCCACCAAGCUCCAGGGCACACUUCCAAGGUGGUGAUGACACAGGUGGUACUGCUUGUACUAAUGGGGUCACAAAACAAAAGUCAUGAGCCUUGGAAAAAGGGGUGGUGGUGGUAGGGAGGGGAAGGCGAUAAGAGAGAGUGUUGGAGAGAGUAAUCGAUAUAUUUUAUACAAUAACAGUAAUUUUUAAAAUGGGGAGUGGAGGUGGGGGAUGGGAAGGGUAUAGCCUGUUCCUUUCCUUAUUGUAACGAGUCCUGCAGAAGAUAAGUGACAGUCAGUAAUAUCUACCAGGGCCAGUUAGUGGAGCCUCACUGAGGGAGAGAUUGUGAAGCUGAGAUUUUAAGGAUGAAAGGCUUGCUCUAUAUGAAAUGAGGAAAAGAACAUUCCAAAGAGAGAAGAGCAGCAAGGGGAGUGCAGAGGCACUGGGGGCGGGGCAGAGCUUGGAUUGUUCUAGGAACUGUGGGUGUGUAGGGAAAAAGAGUGAAGCAGGAACUGUGCAUCGCCAUGCACGACUGUGUGAGAGGUGUGUGUGCAUGUGUGAGCAUGUGUGCACAUGUACUGUGACUGUGUACAUGUGUGUGUGUGCCUGCAUGCAUUCGUGUAUGUGUGUUUGUGUGUGUGUGUGUGUGUGUGUGUGUGUGUGUGUGUGGUGUGCUCAUCUACAUGUAGAGGCUAAAGAUUAACCUUGGGGGUGGUUCCUCAGGAAUCCUCUACUUGUUUUCUGAGACAAGGUCUCUUGUUUGGUCCAUAAGUAAACUAGUUUGGCUGGUCAUGGAGCCACUGGGAUCCAACUGUCUCUCAUUUCCUAGCACUGGGAUUAUAGGGUCAUGAUGCCAUGCCUGGCUUUUGGAGUAGAUUCUGGGGACUGAACUCAGGUCCUGUUGCUUGCAUGGCUGAGACUUUACGGAUAGGCACAUCUGCAGCUUAGGGGGCUGGGCAUGUUUUAGGUUAGUGCAAUAAGAAUCCAAUGGAGAACCAGGAUUUAAAUCUCAUGCUUAAGAAGGUUAGCCCAGUGGGGGUGUUAGAUAUGGAGAUAUAAUUAUUAGGAGGCUUAUAAGCAUCAAAGUCUCUAUGAACAGCCACCAUGUGCUUGGGUGUUGGCUAAAGACCAUUGACAUCAGCUGCCACUUGGGCAGCACUGAUGCUUAGUUGUAGAAAGCCUUGAGGGAUAUUUAUAUCCCUAAAUAUGUAAUAUAUAUAUAUAUAUAUAUAUAUAUAUAUUAUAUAUGCACAUAUAUAUAUACAUACAUAGACACACACACACACACACACAUAUAUAUAUUACAUGGAAGUUAUUUCGUUUAUCAUUAUUUAAAAUAUAUUAGCCAUGUAUUACAUUUAAAAUAUUCUAGCCUUAGAUCUGAAGGAAUUUGAACUAAAUAGACCAGAGUAGCAUUUUAUUCUAUCGAGAUGAUAAGAGCAAUAUGUAUAUAAUACACAAACAAGUAAUAAGCAAUCAAGAUGUGUUUCUUGGCAUGGUUAUACCCAAACUUAUAUUGACUGACCUUUACGUUGUCUUCACUAUUCUAAGUAAUAUAGGAAGGAAGCUCCAGCUAUCUAGGUUUUGUGGAUCUAUUCUGAUAGAAAGGAUGGCUUUCCAAGAAUUGGUUACCAAACCAAACUCAGCAUAGUGGUGUACCAAAUGAAACACUCACCACGAAUGUACACAGGCUACCCACUGUCUUUGUUAACCCAGGCUAUUAUCCUGCUCUAGAUCUUGGUCUAGCCACUACUUGAAUAUGUGUUCAUUGGCAUCUCUUUGUUUACUUGGGCAUUACAUGUCUCUAUUGGUUAAGAAUUCACCUUUUGUCCCCUGCUGCUGCUGCUGCAAUAGCAAAAUCUAGAACAGUGCCUGGAGAUUGGUGCUCAUUGUCCAUUUGCUUUUUAUUAAAAACAUCCACUUUUUACUAAUCAUUUCUUUCAAGACUGGGUUAGUACCAUGGAUUGCCAGAGUGAUUGGCUUUUCUGGACAUGUAUUGAUAGUUCAUUAUUUUUUAUAAUAACCUUCUCUUUGAAACUUCAAGUAUAGUUUCUUUGGCAGUUUUUCAUUACAUCUCAUUCAUGAUUAACAUUUUCUUUUGCAUUGCAGAUUCUUUAAAAACUUAUUUAAAAUAUUUCAGUCAUUUUUUAUGAUUUCUGGCUUGGAAUUGGAUGCUUAAAAAUCUUCCUUAGCUAAAUAAAUGUACCCAUAGUUUUUUUGUCUCUUAAUAAAUUUAGCAAUAAACUGUUGUCACACACUCAGAAUGGGCUCUGCUUCCUGUCUGUUCAAGAUUGGGAUUCCUAUCUGUUGCAAGUGUCUGUUUGAAAUUGUGUGUGUGUGUGUGUGUGUGUGCAUGGCUAUGGGCUAUGGCACAGUUGAGGAGGGUAAGAAAGACAGCCUUGGAUGUUGGUCCUUGCCUUUCAUCUUGGAGACAGGUUCUCUUGUUGCUCAUGGCAAGCCAGAUCAACUGUGAGCUUCUGGGAGAUCUCCCUGCUUUUUUUCCUGCCACCCCCAAUGUGGGAGCCUGCUCUGGUACUAGAGGUGUGUGCUAACAGCUUUGUAUGUGUGCUGGGAAUCUGAACCCAGGAACGUAUUGCUAGCCAUCUUUCCAGCCCUCAUUUUGGGAUUUUGAAUCUAUUAUAAGUAAAAUACUUUAUUGUAGUUUCUUAAAGGGAUUUUGUAGUUUUCAAAUUUUCUCUGGAUCUAAAAGGGUUUGCCUGAGGAUUUUUUGAAAAUGAAGUUGAUGAUUGAGUAGGGCCAGGAGGUUUGGGUUGGAAAGCUAGUCACACUCUGUGUGUGUGUGUGUGUGUGUGUGUGUGUGUGUGUGUGUGUGUAUACUGACAAGUUCUCUAACAUCAAACUUCCACUCCAGUCCUAAGUGUUAGCCUUCCCAGUGAGCCAUCAGCUCGGGCUUCAUUGCUGGCAUAUAGGGAGCGCCUGUUUUGAGAGGUGUGGGUGUGCAUGAUGCACUGUGCAAACAGUCUUAUACGAGUUCUCAGAUGAUUGACAGAUGCGGUACUUUCUAGUGACUGUAUCCUUGCAUAUUUUUCCUGUAUCUCAUCCCCAUGUUUGCCUGUGUCUUUGUUUUUCUCUUUGAUUAGAUUAAUUCAUGGCUUAUCUCCUUUAUUGUCUUUUCCUCAAAGAACCAGCCUUUAGAUUUAUUUAUUAAUUCUGAUGUUUCCAUGCUCAUUAAUGAGCUGAUUUCCUCUUUGAUUUUUAUUUUGCCCUCCAUUCUGCCUCAUUCUCCUCUACAUUUUCUUCUAAGUUUACAUACUCAUUUCUUGACUUUAUUUAGUUCUUGCUCGGUGACUCAAACAUUUAAGGCUCUGAAAUUUCGGUUGGGUGUGUGUUGGCCAAUCUUCAUGUAUUUGAUGGGUGUUGCUCUCAGUAGUGCAGUUCUCUAAAAUUCUGUAAUUGCUAUUUUGGUUUUAUUUUAUUUUAUUUUAUUUUUUUGACUGGAGAACUAUUUCCAAGCUGCUGGAAUAAUUAUUUUGUUCUACUUUUGAAAUUAAUUUCUAGUUUCUUAUAGUGUGAGAGGAGGCUGUAAUCUAUAUUAUUAAUUUCCUUUUUUUGGAAAUUUAAUGGGCUUUUCUUGGUGGUUGCAUAUUGGCUGAUUAUAUAACUGUUUAGUGGGCAUUUGUAACGGCACUCAUGUAUUUAUUUGCAGCAUGUAAAGCAUGGAUAAAGCUUUCACAUCGUUUUUUAAUAAUAUUAAUCACAUUCGCUAAUUCUUCUUAUAAUAGUGAACAGUCUUUGCUAUUAUUUCUUUCAUUCCCAUAUCUUGAAUUUACAAUAGAUUCAAUCAUGCCCUCUCUAUUCUUUGCUUUCUUCAGAUAGAUUAUCACUAUAUAACCCAGGCUUGACCCAACUCUGUUCUCCUGCCUCUACUUCCCAAGCGCUGGAAUCGCAGAUAGAAACUAUCACACUUAGUUUGCAACAGUUUCUUCUUUAUAAUAAUGAUGCUGUAUAACUCUGACUAUGAAUAUUUUGAUAUUUAUACAUUUCUCCUUGAUUUUGCCAUUUGUCAAUUUGAAAGAGACCUCCUUAAAAAUACAACUUACUGUACUUGUGUUUAUAGAAUCCCAUUUAUUAACCCAGAGACUCAUUUCUGCCUUCAUAUUAUGUGAUAAUUUUCUGCUUUGGGUUUUGUCUUUAUCUCUCUUUCAUCUUUGGGUGUGCUCAUGUUUGGGUGUGGAGAGAGAUGCACAUGCCCUCAGGUGAGCACGCUCACGGGAGCCAGAGGCUGGUGUUGUAUGUCUUCCUUAGUGACUCUCCAUCUUAAUUUUUGGGAGAACAUCUUUCAGGGAACCUGGAGCUCACCAAUUCAGCUAAUUUGGCUGGCCAGCAAGCCCUAGGGAUCCCUUGGUUUCUACAUCUUAACCCUAGGAUUACAGAUGCACACUGCCGAAAACAGCUGGUGAGCUGGUGUGUGUGCGUGCUUGCGUGCGUGCGUGCGUGUGCGUGCGUGCUUGCGUGCGUGCGUGCGUGUGCGUGCGUGCGUGCGUGCGUGCGUGCGUGCGUGCGUGUGUGUGUGUGUGUGUGUGUGUGUGUGCGCGUGCUUGCGUGCGUGCGUGCGUGCGUGUGUGUGUGUGUGUGCGUGCGCGCGCGCGUGUACAUGGUUUACAGGGGUUUGAACUUGGCUCUCAUGCUGCAGUGAGCACUUUGCUGAUGGAGCCACCUUGUCAGCCUUGUUUUACACCUUGGAGUUGGAGUUCAGAUCCUCUUCUUGGUAAACAUUAUGCAUGUUUUUUUUUCAUUAGCCUGGAGUUCAUUUUGAAAUUUUUUUCCUGUUGAGUUUAUAGUAUCUAUAUGUGAUGAUUAAUCUACAUUUGGCUGGAUUCGGAAGACUCAGGAUUGGGAUUACCAGUGAGGGUGUAACCAGGGAAGUGUAACUGAGUUAGAAGAUCCACUAUGAGUACAAAUGGUACCAGCAAUGGGCUGGGCUCCUGGAUGCAAUAAAAAGGAGAAAAAUGACGAUUUUGGUUAUCUUCCUCUAUCUCUUUCCACUUUACUAUUUUUGAACCAGGCUCUCCCAUCCAACUUGUAUCUCAUUCUUUCCCAGGCUGGUUGGGUAGUGAAGCACUAGGAUCCUCCUGUCUCCACCCUGUAGCAGUGGAGUGAUGGAUAUGCACAUCCGUUCCUGGCUUAUUAUGGAGGUGCUGAGAUCUGAGUUCAGUUCCUCACAGAUGCUGUGCAACUUGUACAGUGAGCUCUCCAUCACUGAGCCGUGAAGCCUUACUGAGAGUGUCCUAUGUAAGUCCAUCAACAACCAUCCUUCAUUGAAGACCAUGGAAAUUUCCUCUUGAGAUAUCACUGACUGUAGUUUGUACAAUUCUCUAUUUUUUGGAGGACAGGCUAUACACUGCAAAUUUCUGAUUGAUUGAUUGAUUGAUUGAUUGACGGAUAGAUUGAUUUUUACCUCUAACAUUACUGAGGUUUUUAUCCAGCUACCAAACACUUCCAAAUUCCUCUAGAAUUCCAGGCUUGCUUUCCUUCUCUAUUGUUAGCUUUGGUCCUCAUGCAUUCUGCAAAGACUCAUUUCUUUCUCUCGCUUUCUUCAUUCUGUUAUUCCACUUUUUCAUCAUACUUUAGAUUUUUAUUUAACGUUUUCUGACUUUCUUGUUUCUUUGAGAGUUCAGAUGACUGCUGUCACACACAUCCCUUCCUGAUUUUCUGGAGUUCGUCUUCAUGAAACCUACAAUAUCAGAAAUGCAAACCUACAAUCUAUUUUUAAACAUCAUGGUUUUUGUUUUUGUUGUUUGUUUGUUUUUUCUUUUAGUUGUUUUUUUUUUUUUUUUGUUCCAGAGAUGUCAUAUGAGCAUCAUUUUGCAUUUUCAGCUUGUUUUUUUUAAUUGCCUUUUUAACUCAUUGUAAAAUGGAACUUCAUAUUUCAGAUCUGUUACUUAUUGUAAGCUCCUGUGGUUGAUUUUCCUUUGAUACACAGCUUGCUUUCUUGGUGCCAUCAAAUCUCCUAUAAAACCAGAGAUGAGGGCCAGCUUUGAGGUUUGCCUUCAGUUUUGAGUUUUCUAUUCCUUUGAGAGGCUAGGGAAGAAGAAAGAGUUGGCUCAUUGCCACAAAAAUGUUCUGUUUUAGUAGGCUCUACAAUAUUUUCUGUUCCCUCUCCCUCUCCCUCUCCCUCUCCCUCUCCCUCUCUCUGUAUGUGUGUGUCUUCUCUCUGUCUCUCUUUGUUUCUCUCUGUCUCUGUCUCUCUCUCUUCUCUGCAAUGAUUUCAUCCUGUCUUAAAAACCAGUGAUGUGAGCAUGUACCAUGUCUCAGGAUGAGAUGAAGUAUCCAAAUUGUAUCCCAUCCACACUGUCUUAAAAACCCACCAUAUGGGUAAGUAAUCCUCUUUUAUACAAAAUAAAGCAAAGCCCACUGAGACAUACAUGGCUUCUAUUAGGGAUGCCAGGAGCAUCCUUAGUCCCUUCCUGACUCUGAUUUGCUGUUGUUUUCAGAAUAAUUAGUUCCAUCACAAAAGUAAAAGAUUCUGAUUGUAAAAAAUCUCUGAAAGUGAUUUUAAAAUACCCAGAGAUGGAAGCAAAAAGCACAUGAUCAUCUCACCACAUAGAAAUAACAGUUGUUUACCUUCCGACACUGGUGUGUGUGUCUCUGUGUGUGUGUGUGUGUAUGUGUGUAUUAAUACGAUGUGGUUUGGAAAUUUUAUUUGCUUUUGUUUAGCAACAUACCUUAGCAAAUUUCCCAUGUCCAAAUCUUAUUAUUUUCAUCAUCAGUUUUAAUACUUUUCUUCCUCUGUGCUUACCGAUGUUUCUCAGUUACAUGCAAA